rnacentral:rRNA from 1 species
CGGGAAACCGGAGCUAAUACCGGAUAAUAUAUUGAACCGCAUGGUUCAAUAGUGAAAGACGGUUUUGCUGUCACUUAUAGAUGGAUCCGCGCCGCAUUAGCUAGUUGGUAAGGUAACGGCUUACCAAGGCAACGAUGCGUAGCCGACCUGAGAGGGCGAUCGGCCACACUGGAACUGAGACACGGUCCAG